UACGUAGGGUGCGAGCGUUGUCCGGAAUUAUUGGGCGUAAAGGGCUCGUAGGCGGUUUGUCGCGUCGGGAGUGAAAACACCGGGCUUAACUCGGUGCUUGCUUUCGAUACGGGCAGACUAGAGGUAUGCAGGGGAGAGCGGAAUUCCUGGUGUAGCGGUGAAAUGCGCAGAUAUCAGGAGGAACACCGGUGGCGAAGGCGGUUCUCUGGGCAUUACCUGACGCUGAGGAGCGAAAGUGUGGGGAGCGAACAGG
rnacentral:rRNA from 1 species